rnacentral:rRNA from 1 species
UACAGAGGGGGCAAGCGUUGUUCGGAAUUACUGGGCGUAAAGAGCGUGUAGGCGGCUUUGCAAGUCCGUUGUGAAAACUCGAGGCUCAACCUCGAGACGCCGGUGGAAACUGCAAAGCUAGAGUCCGGAAGAGGAGAGUGGAAUUCCUGGUGUAGCGGUGAAAUGCGCAGAUAUCAGGAAGAACACCCGUGGCGAAGGCGGCUCUCUGGGACGGUACUGACGCUGAGACGCGAAAGCGUGGGGAGCGAACAGG